rnacentral:rRNA from 1 species
UUCUCUUGAGAGCGGCGGACGGGUGAGUAAUACCUAGGAAUCUGCCUGAUAGUGGGGGAUAACGUUCGGAAACGGACGCUAAUACCGCAUACGUCCUACGGGAGAAAGCAGGGGACCUUCGGGCCUUGCGCUAUCAGAUGAGCCUAGGUCGGAUUAGCUAGUUGGUGAGGUAAUGGCUCACCAAGGCUACGAUCCGUAACUGGUCUGAGAGGAUGAUCAGUCACACUGGAACUGAGACACGGUCCAGACUCCUACGGGAGGCAGCAGUGGGGAAUAUUGGACAAUGGGCGAAAGCCUGAUCCAGCCAUGCCGCGUGUGUGAAGAAGGUCUUCGGAUUGUAAAGCACUUUAAGUUGGGAGGAAGGGCAGUUACCUAAUACGUGACUGUCUUGACGUUACCGACAGAAUAAGCACCGGCUAACUCUGUGC